CUCUGCAUAGUGCACAAGUCUUUCGCCUUUUACUAAAGACUUCCGUGCAGGG
rfam:Tetraodon nigroviridis, WGS project CAAE01000000 data, contig: CNS0C6D9, chromosome: undetermined